rnacentral:rRNA from 1 species
GAUGAGCGCUAGCGGCAGGCCUAAUACAUGCAAGUCGAACGGAUAUAUGUUUUUCGGAAUAUAUAUUAGUGGCGCACGGGUGAGUAACACGUACAUAACUUGCCCUCAAGCAGGGGAUAGCCUUGGGAAACUGAGAGUAAUACCCCAUAGAAUUAUUGGACGGCAUCGUUUGAUAAUUAAAACUACGGUGCUUGGGGAUAGAUGUGCGUCUGAUUAGCUAGUUGGUGAGGUAACUGCUCACCAAGGCGACGAUCAGUAGGGGGCGUGAGAGCGUGGCCCCCCACACGGGUACUGAGACACGGACCCGACUCCUACGGGAGGCAGCAGUAAGGAAUAUUGGUCAAUGGAGGGAACUCUGAACCAGCCAUGCCGCGUGAAGGAUGACGGCCCUCUGGGUUGUAAACUUCUUUUGGAUGGGGCGAAAAAACGGGAUUUAUCCUGGACUGACGGUACCAUCAGAAUAAGCACCGGCUAACUCCGUGCCAGCAGCCGCGGUAAUGUAUCG